GACGAACGCUGGCGGCGUGCUUAACACAUGCAAGUCGAACGGUAAGGCCCUUCGGGGUACACGAGUGGCGAACGGGUGAGUAACACGUGGGUGAUCUGCCCUGCACUUCGGGAUAAGCCUGGGAGACUGGGUCUAAUACCGGAUAGGACCCUGGGAUGCAUGUCCUGGGGUGGAAAGCUUUUGCGGUGUGGGAUGGGCCCGCGGCCUAUCAGCUUGUUGGUGGGGUGAUGGCCUACCAAGGCGACGACGGGUAGCCGGCCUGAGAGGGUGACCGGCCACACUGGGACUGAGAUACGGCCCAGACUCCUACGGGAGGCAGCAGUGGGGAAUAUUGCACAAUGGGCGCAAGCCUGAUGCAGCGACGCCGCGUGAGGGAUGACGGCCUUCGGGUUGUAAACCUCUUUCAGCACCGACGAAGCGCAAGUGACGGUAGGUGCAGAAGAAGGACCGGCCAACUACGUGCCAGCCGCCGCAGUAAGAC
rnacentral:rRNA from 1 species